rnacentral:rRNA from 1 species
UACGGGGGGGGCAAGCGUUGUUCGGAAUUACUGGGCGUAAAAGGCUCGUAGGUGGCCAACUAAGUCAGACGUGAAAUCCCCAGGCUCAACCUGGGAACUGCGUCUGAUACUGGAUGGCUUGAAUCCGGGAGAGGGAUGCAGAAUUCCAGGUGUAGCGGUGAAAUGCGUAGAUAUCUGGAGGAAUACCGGUGGCGAAGGCGGCAUCCUGGACCGGCAUUGACGCUGAGGAGCGAAAGCCAGGGGAGCAAACGGG